GGUCUGAAGAAUGCAUACCACGACAACCCCAACAAUGUAGACUGCAGUGUAUUCAUGUUUACAAAUAGACAUACCCACUUGUAGGUGUUUGAGACAGCCACAGAAAAACUGCCCAAAGUCCCUCCCUUGUGAAGCUCACCUUUGAAUCUGGGAGACUGACAAUAAUGAACAGCAUGUGACAGCAUGUGACAUCAGAUGGUGAUAGAUGCUUUCUGGGAAGAUUGACAGAGAGAGCAUGAUGUCAAUAGAGAGCAAAGGGUCAGAAGGACUGUGCGGGAGAGAAAACACUGAGGCCAGUGCGCUUGGCAAGUCAAGGCCUAAAAUCUAAAGAUUCUUCUUCCAGAGUUUUUAGUCACUCACAAAACAGAUGUCAUUUUUGAAAAUGCCGAAUUGCAAAAUACACAAAAAAAUCAGCAUCCUUCAAGAAUACUGUUGUGCUUUCUUCUCAUUUGCUGGUAGGAAACAUGUGUGUCUUGAAUACCAAUUAUCUUUUCAGUUCAGUGUUUCCUUCAGAGAACAAAAACUUUCUGGUACAGCUGCAGAGGACAAAUAAAAUGGCAUCACAGAAGAGCAGCUAGCACCUUGGAA